CGUUCUCGGUGGCGCAGUCUCCCGGAGCAGUCGGGAAACUCCAGGCUUAAAUUUAUACUCUCCGUUGUCCCUGUUCUUUAAGUACACUAGUCCGGGUUCUUUUUCGGAGCUCCCUGGACACCUGCUCUCCUGACCGGAAGCCGGGUCAGUAAGAGACUACAACUCCCGGAAGAUGACGUCAAAGAGAAAAAUUCCGUGGUUGCGUGAGGAGGGAGAGGCAUGAAGACUCGCGAGAGAACGGGGUUGAGGAGGCUGCGCGGAGGGAGUGGGCGGAGAGAGUGCGGAGGAAGGGAAGGAGGUGCCUGCCCGCAAUAGUAGGAGUGGGGCGGUGGGCGCUUCGAAUCGGGGCUGUGAGGUACUGGGCGCCUCGGCGGACCUUGCUGCCUCUGUGUCUUGAACGCGAGAGGCAGCGAUGCAGAGGGUGGGAAAUGGCAGAGUUGCAGAUGUUACUAGAGGAGGAGAUCCCAUCUGGCAAGAGAUCGCUGAUAGAGAGUUACCAGAACCAGACCCGGGUGGCGGACUGCUGUGAAAUCAACUGCACACAGCAGCAAGAACUUCAGCUUGAUAAGCAACUCUGCCUAUGCCAGCACAGGCUCUUAAAAAUUCAUCAACCGGAGCACCACUAGCUUUUAAUGGGUGAAGUGCUUUCUGACACUCCGGGUUCGCAUUUUCAAACGCCAAUACCUGAAGAAGCAUGUUAGCUGCAGGACUAUCUCCUAAGCUGCAGAAAACAGCAUCCUUUAAACAAGGUAAAAAAUCAGUAUAUGGUUCCAAAGGACCUUGGGUGGUUUUUUUGAAAGAAGGGGCUAUCUUUCCUGAGAUUUCAGUUUUCAUCCAUGAUUUUUAACACUAUGGACUUCACCUGAGUUAAGGCCAAAUCACUAAGCCCAGCUUGAGCUUCCAAGAAGGCAUGAGGCCCGAUCCCGGUGAGUUCAGACUCCACUGGACCAGGAGGUUGCCAAGUUGCAUUCCUCCUAGCUUGUGAGGUAGCUUCCUCAUACCACCAACUUUUUAACUGUAACCAUGUGACCCUUCCAAAACAGUUCUACAGAUAUUUUCCCAAUCCAAGCGUAGCAGCAAAUUUUCUGCAGAAACAGUGUUAAGUAGGCCUAAUACAAAAGGAGAUCGGGGGCCAUAAUUUUGGACAGCUUGUUUUAAAUCUUUCAAGAUCUUAUAUGUUACUGGGAGAUAAUUUACCUCAAGUCCUCCUUGAGGGAAUUGGGUGUUAGGAGGGAUCGCUCGUCUAGUGAUUGGGAAGACAGAAAAACUAGUGGAUGUAUGAUGAGAGGCAGAAGGAGGGACAAAAUCAGGAGGUGGCAGGAGAUGUUCAUCACAAGCACCAGGACCAGGACCCUUGGGAACGGUAAAGGAGCGUCCAGCCGCCGGCAGCGCGGCGGAGGCGGAAGAAAAGUGGGAAAAGCAGAAAGUGGCAGAACAGAGGGUGAAAGCUUGUGGGGAGUGGUAGCUACUGUCAAUUUUUCUAUAAACUCCAUCAAUAUACAAGUGACCUUCUGAAUAUCAGAAUGAGAGGCAGAAGACACACUAGAACUAUUGUCUUCCUGAUCAGACUCACCCCCACCUUCAUCAGGGGGAGGUGGCAAACUCAAAACCUGCAGAACAUCAUCAUAUAGAGGACUACACUUAUCAGAGACAGCAGAGCAAGCAUCUCUCAGAGUCCGUUUCUAACACUUGCAAAGCUUGAGAAACAGAGCUACAAAGGGAGCACAAAGUAGCAGGCAUCGUGUCCCCCUGUUGAUGAGGCUGGUGAAGAGUUUUAACAACCUUAUGCCAGGCUUCAUUAUUUAGUUGCACCUCUGACUGAAAGUGAAACCAAAAGCAAUUAUUUCCGGACCCUGGCAAAUAAAUCUUUCAACAGCUUGUCUUUGGCAGUUAUGCCAAGAGAAUGCAGAAGUCCCUGUAUGAGCUGUUGAUACUCCCUCUCAAGGGAGGGAGAGUUCCCCAUUAGUACUCCUUGUUUCUUCCAGAAGUUCAACUAUCGCAGUGUCAGCUUACCCGAAGUUGGCCCCCUUCUGGGUCCCAAGUCACCCCUGGCGUCCUAUCUCCAAUUUCUUCAGGGUUGUGGGGUCCUGCCCCACUGUGGGGUCAUCCGUGCCCCACGCUGGGCUCCAGAUGUAGCAAGCCGCUCGCACAGGUGAAAUGGGGGUGAACAGAAAACACAGACAACACAGACAGACAGACAACGGCUGUAGCCCUGAUGUGGCCACAGCUCCUUUAUUUUUCUACUGCCUUUCUCAGACCUCAGCCAAGUGCUAUACUCAUCUUUCCCUUCUCAGGGGGCACAGGCGAGAACACUUUGUUGAUUUUUCUUAGAAUCUGCCCAGUAAGCAGAGGUGGUGCUUUCACACAUCCUCAAGGUCUCCCUGUUUUCAGCGUGAGGCAUCCUGGCUCGUUUUCAAGGACAAGAUAUGCUUUCGUGGGCAGAUAACGUCCAAGGACUGCACCUGUUGUUCUCAAGCUGGUGCUUCCCCAUGCUUCAUUCAGACAUGGGGGAAGGUGCUUUCCCAUUCUGCCUACAAACGUGUGAGAAGACAAAGGCUGUCCCUAUCACACUUACAUGAACAACAUUGUGGUUACUAGAUUCCCCCCAUUAUCAAGUCCCCACCACGUACCCAUUAUAGUCACUGUUCAUAAGCAUAGUAAGAUGCUAUAGAGUCACUGCUUGUCUUCUCUGUGAUGUACAGCCCUCCCUGUGCCCCCCACCCUGUUAUGUGUGCUGAUCGUAAUGCCCCUUAUUCCCCCUUCUCCCUCCCUUCCCACCCAUCCUCCCCAGUUCCUUUCCCUUUCGUAACUGUUAGUCCAUUCUUGGAUUCUGUGAGUCUGCUGCUGUUUUGUUCCUCUAGGUUUUUCUUUGUUCUUAUACUCCACAGAUGACUGAAAUCAUUUGAUACUUGUCUUUCUCUGCCUGGCUUAUUUCACUGAACAUAAUACCCUCUAGCUCCAUCCAUGUUGUUGCAAAUGGUAGGAUUUGUUUUCUUCUGGUGGCUGAAUAAAAUUCUGUUGUGUAUAUGUACCAUAUCUUUACCCAUUCAUCUAGUGAUGGACACUUAGGUUGCUUCCAUUUCUUGGCUAUUGUUAAAUAGUGCUGCGAUAAACAUUGGGGUGCAUAGUCUUUUUCAAACUGGGCUGCUGCAUUCUUAGGGUAAAUUCCUAGGAGUGGAAUUCCUGGGUCAAAAGGUAUUUCUAUUUUUAGUUUUUUGAGGAACCUGCAUACUGCUUUCCACAAAGGUUGAACUAAUUUACAUUCCCACCAGCAGUGUUGGAGGGUUGCCCUUUCUCCACAUCCUUGCCAACAUUUGUUGUUGUUUGUCUUUUGGAUGGUGGCCAUCCUAACUGGUGUGAGGUGAUAAUCUUAUUGUGGUUUUAAUUUGCAUUUCUCUGAUGAUUAGCAAUGUGGAGCAUCUUUUCAUGUGCCUGUUGGCCAUCUGAAUUUCUUCUUUGGGGAAGUGUCUGUUCAGCUCCUCUGCCCAUUUUUUAAUUGGGAUUUUGCUUUUUGUUUGUUGAGGUGCAUGAGCUCUUUGUAUAUUGGUCUGUAAUUUUCUUGUUUUGUGGUGUCUAUGUCUGGUUUGGUAUUAGAGUGAUGCUGGCCUCAUAGAAUGAACUUGGAAAUAUUCCCUCCUCUUCCACUUUUUGGAAUACUUUAAGAGGGAUAGGUAUUAGCUCUUCUUUAAACAUUUGGUAGAAUUAAGUUGUGAAUCUGUAUACCUGGAAUUUUGUUUUGGGAGUUUUUUGCUUAUCAGUUUGAUUUUCUUGGUGGUAAUUGGUCUGUUCGGAUUUACUGUUUCUGCUUUUUUAAGGUUGUGCUUUUCUAAGAAUUUGUCUAUGUCUUCUAGGUUGUCCAAUUUAUUGGCAUAUAAUUUUUCAUAGUAUUCUCUAAUAAUUUCUUUGUAUUUCUGUGGCAUCUGUUAUGAUUACUCCUUCAUUUCUAAUUUUGUUUUUUUCUGUACUCUCUCUUUUUUUUUUGAUAAGUCUGGUUAGGGGUUUAUCUAUAUUGUUUAUUUUCUCAAAGAACCAGCUCCUGGUUUGUUUGUUUCUUUCUUCUAUUUUUUUAUUCUUCUCAAUUUUAUUUAUUUCUGCUCUGAUCUUUAUUAUGUACCUCCUUUUACUAACUUUGGGUUUCAUUUGUUCUUUUUCUAGUUUCUUUAAUUGUGAGUUUAGACUGUUUAUUUGGGAUUGUUUCUUGAGGUAGACCAGUAUUGCUAUGUGCUUCCCUCUUAGAACUGCCUUCACAGCAUCCCACAGAUUUUAGGCUGUUGAAUUUUUGUUUUCAUUUGUCUCUAUGUACUGCUUGAUAUCUGUUUUAAUUUGUUCAUUGAUCCAUUGAUUAUUCAUAAGUAUGUUUUUUAGACUCCAUGUUUUUGUAGGCUUUUUUAUUUUCUUUGUGCAAUUUAUUUCUAUACAAUUGUGGUCUUAGAAGCUGCUUGAUACAAUUUCAAUCUUUUUGAAUUAUUGGGGCUCUUUUUGUGGUCUAUGUGAUCUAUUCUGGAGAACACUCCAUGUACUCUUGGAAAAAUGUGAAUCCUGCUGCUUUUAGGUGGAAGAUUUUCUGUAGAUACCAUGUUCUGUAGAUAUCUGUUAAGUCCAUCAGAUCUAAUCUAUUAUUCAGUGCCUCUGGUUCCUUAUUUAUUUUCUGUCUGUUGAUGUGAGUGAUGUGUUAAAGGCUCCUAAAAUGAAUGUGUUGUGAUUUAUUUCCCCUUUUAAUUCUGCUAGUAUUUGUUAUUACAUAUUGAUGCAUAGAUAUUUAUAGUGGUUAUAUCCUCUUGUUGGACUGACCCAUUUAUCAUUAUGUAAUGUCCUUCUUUGUCUCCUGUUACUUUCUUUGUUUUGAAAUCUAUUUUGUUGAUACAAGUACUGCUACUCCUACUUUUUUUUCCUAUUAUUUGCAUGGAAUGUCUUUUUCCAUCCUUUCACUUUUAAUCUGUGUAUGUCUUUGCGUCUGAAAUGAGUCUCUUGUAGGUAGCAUAUACAUGGGUCUUGUUUUCUUUCAUCCAUUCUGGCACUCGUGUGUCUUUUUAUUGGUGCAUUCAGUCCCCUUUCUUUUUCCCUGCCCUUAUCCCUCCCUUCCCACCCCUCCUGCCCAGUCCCUUUCCCUUUGGUAACUAUUAGUCCAUUCUUGAGUUUUGUGAUUCUGCUGCUGUUUUGUACCUUCAGUUUUUCUUUGUUCUUACACUCCACAUAUGAGUGAAAUCAUUUGGUACUUGUCUUUCUCCACCUGGCUUAUUUCACUGAGCAUAAUACCCUCUAGCUUCAUCCAUGUUGUUGCAAAUGGUAGGAUCGGUUUUCUUCUUAUGGCUGAAUAAUAUUCCAUUGUGUAUAUGUACCACAUCUUCUUAAUCCAUUCAUCUAGUGAUGGACACUUAGGUUGAUUCCAUUUCUUGGCUAUUAUAAAUAAUGCUGUGAUAAACACAGGGGUGUAUAUGUCUUUUUCAAACUGGGCUGCUGCAUUCUUAGGGUAAAUUCCUAGAAGUGAAAUUCCUGGAUCAAAUGGUAUUUCUAUUUUGAGCUUUUUGAGGAACCUCCAUACUGCUUUCCACAAUGGUUGAACUAAUUUAUAUUCCCACCAGCAGUGUAGGAGGGUUCCCCUUUCUCCACAAAGUGGAAUCAAAGGAAACCAUCUCCAUUGUCUGCUACAAUUUUCUACUUUCAAAGUACCUUACUAAUUUUACUAGCGAUUAGUUUGAGCUAUAUAUUUUCAUACAACGUUCUUCAUUAAUCUGCUCAUGUUCUCCAAAGUAAUUUAGUAUUCCAGUUACUUAAUCAGUCCUCAUAAAUAAGACAAAGUAUGAUUCUCAUUUGUAGAGCACACAGUGCUAUGGUCCCUGAGGACACGGAGAAACUGCCAGCUGAGAACCAGGAGAGAGCCUUCACCAGAACACCGCCACGCUGACACCCUGAUGUUUGUGCUCCCAGUUCGUAUGUUGAAACUCUAACCCCUAACGGUGAUGGUGUUAGUAAGAGGUGCUUUGGGGAGGUGCUUAGGUCUUGAUGGUGGAGCCCUCAUGAGUGGGAUUAGUGCCCAUAUAAUAGAGGCGCCAGAGAAGUCCCCAGCCCCUCUACCAUUGAGGACACAGGGAGAAAGUGCCAGCUGAGAACCAGGAGAGCCUUCACCAGAACACCGCCACGCUGACACCCUUUGAAGCCAAAAGCCAGUUCCAGUCUGGUCUGCAAACCAGACCUAGGGGGAAAGCCCUUCCUCCCCGUGCCAGUGCUGGCAUACACCCCUGAAAAAAAAUCAUGCUCUUCCUACCUGGAGAGACUCUGCCUCGGGCCAUGGAGGAAUCCAGCCUGAUUAGAUUCACUAACAGAAUCAACACCCAAGGAACCCACCCAGAACCCAUUCUGGAAGGAAAAAAAAUGCGACAGUAAAAUGGUUAGCUUCUUCAGAAUGGGGCUUGUUAACUCAGUCAAAAUAUAUUCAUUAAGAAUUAAAAUACCUUUCUAUCCUCCCCAGGACUGGAAAGUCCUCACACUGAUAACCAAUCAAGAUAGAAGAGUUUUGUAUCAUUAGUUGCUGGGUAGAAUACUUUCACAGAGUUGUGUUAUGCCACUCAAGAACUGUCUACCUGGAGAAUCGCUGACAGUAGUUUAGGUAUGUGGGAAAUGAGCUGAGAGAAAAAGAAGAAUAGAAAACCUCUCCAUAGUGUGUGGUCCUAGAAGAACUAGACAGAUUGUUUAUUCUUUAUCCAGCUAUCUGUCCUCAUCUAGCAAUGUCCCUGGCCUGUUCUAACCAAUAGUUCUCCCUUCCUAUGGGGGGACUGACAUUGCCAACAGAGAAUGUGUGAAAAAGAAGGAAGUAGAUAGCACUCUAAUCAUACACCUCAGGGACCAUCAGAGAAGAAACAGAAGAGACUGAAAAUAACCUGGAGAGUAUGAUUUCCUGUCAACCGAGAGAAAGCCACCAAAAAACAUGGAGAGAGGAUUCUCAAAAUAAUAAAGUGCUGCAAAAACAUUCAAGAGGAUGAAAUAUAAGAAAGUUUUAUUGUGUUUUAAAAUUAGUGGGCACCAGUAACCUUCAAUGGGACAUAGAACAUUAAAGGUAGAAGCUGUAUUUCAAAAAAGUAGAGUGAAUUAGAAAUGAAGGCAGCAGAUGUAAACAGUCCAUCGAGAAUUUUGGAAAUGAAAACAAAGGAAAAGAUGAGACUCUCAUUUGAGAGAAAAGCACCACUAAGGGAAAGUCACUUUAAGAUAUGAAAGACCUUAACAAGUUUCUGAGUCAAGCAGAAGACAUAUGUAGAUAGAAGAAAUUCAAGAUAAAAAAGAAGAAAAGAUAAAUUACCCACAAAAUGCUUACUGGAAUCCAAAGAAUGAGAGAGAUUGUCAGACUCGGCAAUAAAAAGAAACACUUCUUCAGAUACAAGAAUGAGAACAGGGAGAUUUGGAGUGAGAAAGGGGGAUGAGGACAUUCCAGUUAUAUGGCUUCAGUGGACUCACUUUUAGGACAAGGCAAGAACUUCUGCUAAAAAGGAGCUG